CGCACGUUUUUCGAUCUCAUAGUUUAUACUUGUUAUUCCGUCGUCGAGUUUAGAUUGACGUGAUGCGGCUCGAGCUCGAUGAAGUAGAAACGGACUGCGGGUAGGAAGACGUUGAUUUCGUCUUCAGCCAUCAAAUGCGCGCAAGAUUUGAGGUUAAUGAUUGUUACCAAAUGCCUGUGAGGACAUUGUGUGCUGCGAGGUUUAACAUAGUAUGCUGUGUUUCUCCUCAUGCCUCUAUGAGCCCUGGUGACUCCCGGUGCCCGAUUUCCUUGUUCCAGAUUUGAUGUGCUGGAGAGAAAAGUAGAUCAUUCUCCGUGUCUUUGAGUCUGUUACUUGGUGUGGUAUUGUCUCAAUCAAAAGAGAAGUAGCCGGAAGGUACUCGUGAGUGAAGUCUUGCCCCAUUCUGUUGUACCUUGUUUUCAUUGUGCUGGUAAAGCUGGACUUAAUGUGCUGAAUCUAAGAGUAGAUCAUUCACCGUCCCUUCGAUUCUUCUACUCCGCGUGUUGCUGCCUCUAUCAAGAGAAAGAUGGCCGGAAGGCACUCGCUAAUGCAGUUGUGCCCCGUUCUGUUCUACCUGCUGGCAUCUCUGUCUAUGGAACUUUCUCCCUGACAGCGAGGACUGGCACAAGAGGAGGAGGGAUUUCAGUGUUUCCGUGCUCUUGUUUCUUACGCUUUCAUUUUUCCUUGGCAGUAUCUUCAGAUUCUUCUAGAAAAUAGAUAACCAGGUCAAAUCAUCCUCCCUUGAUGUAUUUCAUUCUCCUGUUGUAUUUAUUUAGCGCCAAGAAGAUACCACUAGCUUAAAACUGUGGACUCAGAGGGUCUUUCUUCAGGUGGGGGAUUGCGCAAGAUGGGUCAUCUCUCUACCUUCCCCAGAUGCCACAUUAUUCCCUGAUGUCACUCCAACUGGGUCAGCUCGUCAUUCGUGUCGGGGAACCCAUGGCAUGGGUGAUAAAAUUAAACAUUAGACUUCUCGGUACAUCUUAUGAUUGUGGUUUCCGAAUUGUCUAGGAUGAAUUGAUAUUGAACAGCUGGAUAGCACAGUAAGUCUGUCAUCAGAGCAGAGGUCAGGGUUCAUUAGUAUUCAAAUGUCUACGAUAUAUUGUCUUCACUGUAGCUUACAGGCAUUCAGAAGGUUUGACUUCAAGAAGUAAUUGUUGAUAUUUCUGUAGUAAGGAAAACAAAGGAAUUGAUUGUCCAGUAUAAUUUUCUGUUCAGAGGCAGUGUUAUCCAUUAUCUUUGUCUAGCAGCCAUUUUUGUGCAAAUGAAGAUUACCAUAUUCAAAG